GACGAACGCUGGCGGCGUGCUUAACACAUGCAAGUCGAACGGAAAGGCCCUGCUUUUGUGGUGUGCUCGAGUGGCGAACGUGUGAGUAACACGUGAGUAACCUGCCCUUGACUUUGGUAUAACUUCAGGAAACUGGGGCUAAUACCGGAUAGGAGCUCCUGCUGCAUGGUGGGGUUUGGAAAGUUUCGGCGGUUGGGGAUGGACUCGCGGCUUAUCAGCUUGUUGGUGGGGUAGUGGCUUACCAAGGCUUUGACGGGUAGCCGGGCUGAGAGGGUGACCGGCCACAAUGGGACUGAGAUAAGGCCCAGACUCCUACGGGAGGCAGCAGUGGGGAAUAUUGCGAAAUGGGCGGAAGCCUGACGCAGCAACGCCGCGGGAGGGACGAAGGCCUUCGGGUUGUAAACCGCUUUCGGCAGGGACGAAGCGAAAGGGACGGUAAUGGGUAAAGAAGCACCGGCUAACUACGUG
rnacentral:rRNA from 1 species